rnacentral:sRNA from 1 species
GGAGUGGAAGUUUGACUGCCUCUGUGAUCUCUACAACGUUGUCAAUGUUACUCAAGCCGUCAUCUUCUGUAACACUCGCAGGAAGGUCGACACACUCACCGAGAAAAUGACUGAAAAUCAGUUCACAGUCUCUUGCCUCCACGGAGACAUGGAUCAAGCUGAGCGUGAUACAAUUAUGCGAGAGUUCCGUUCAGGAUCUUCCCGUGUUCUCAUCACCACAGACAUCUUGGCUCGUGGUAUUGACGUACAACAGGUAAGUAUAAAUAUUUGUGUUUAUAAUUCAAUACUAUGGAAUGUAUAUAUUUUAGGUCUCACUUGUUAUCAACUAUGAUCUCCCAUCCAAUCGUGAGAACUACAUCCAUCGUAUCGGACGUUCUGGACGUUUCGGUCGUAAGGGAGUUGCCAUCAACUUCGUCACCGAGAACGAUGCUCGUCAGCUCAAGGAAAUUGAAAGCUACUACACCACUCAAAUCGAAGAGAUGCCAGAAUCAAUCGCUGACCUCAUCUAAAUUUUAAUCCAAUUCCGAUCCCCUCCACGAUUGUUCCACACGCUUUUCCCUUCCUCUUGUUUCCUCAUAUUUAUCCAUGUUAUCUGUUUUCUCCUCCACCCCCACCGUCCCACAUUUUUAUUUUAUGCGUGAUUUCAUCUUUUUAAUCACCCCUUUUUAGUACUGGCCCUAUCCCAUCCAACUUGGUUCAAACAUUCUAAUUCUCUUUCAAUUUAGAGUUUAGUAUUGCCCCCUAAAAGUUAUAGAGCCACCUUGGUUUUGUUUGACAAAAUGUUUUUGUCUGGCGUUCUCUUUUUCUGGAAAAUAAUGAAAUUGCGUAUGUUACAUUCAUUUUAAAUCUUAUGAACAGGCUUCUGAUCCUUUCAGAAUAUAUUGAACACCGUAAUUCUGCUAAUUUUUAAUUAUGAAUUUCCAGUAACAUGGUGAAAAGGAAUUUGAAAGGAAGGGGUGACAAAUUAUCAGCCAAUGCUCCACUGGAUAACCAGUUGGAAGCUGGUAAAGUUGCAAAGCAACGAGAUGAGCUUCGCGAAAAGCAGAAGAGAAAAAGGGAAGACUCGCAGACAGACGAGGUCAGUAAAUAUUCAGGGAAAAUUAAAUAUUAUUUUCAUUGACCAGAGAGUUCAUAAAAUUAGUUUCAGUUCGUUCCUGAUUCGCUCUCAUCAAAAAUCUUGAAUGAAGCUCGUAAGCAGCUUCUCGAAGAGGCACUGGAAAGACAAGAAACCGAAUCAGCCACAUCUAGUGUUCCAAAAAGGUAAAUAAACAAUUUAUCAUAAUUCAAUGCAAGUAUUUCUGUUACAGACAACGCGGAGCUUGGCUUGGAGCUGAUGCAUCCGGCGACAAAUCGGACGAUGAUGAUGAUGAUAAUGAAGAAGAAGACGACAAUGGAUUUGAAGAUCAAGUUGUUGUAAGUAAAAUCUAUUUAGCUUCGUGAUAAUAAUGUUAAACUCCAUUUAUAGGAACUCGAUCCUCGAGAUGAAGCUGAUUUGGCUAGAUUCCUCAAAAAAGAUGCUAUCCAAAUGUCCACACUCUACGAUAUUAUUCAAGCCAAAAUUGAAGCUAAACAGAAUGAUGCAGAGCUUGCACUCAGCCAAGUUGAUCCGAAUGAGUUUAAUGUAAUUUUUAAGCAUCGAGCCUUGAAGCAUAACAAAAUGUUUACAGAUGCGUGACAUGGACCCAGAAGUAGUUGAGAUGUAUGAGCAGAUUGGACAGUAUAUGUCAAAAUAUCGCAGUGGAAAAGUCCCAAAAGCAUUCAAAAUCAUUCCAAAAAUGAUUAACUGGGAGCAAAUUCUUUUGUUAGUUGUCUGUUAGUAUCGGAUUUGAAUAAAAUAAAACAUAUUCAGCCUCACAAAGCCUGAAACUUGGACGGCUGCUGCUAUGUAUCAAGCCACAAGAUUGUUUGCGUCGAACAUGAACCCAAAAAUGUGUCAGAGGUAUUUAAAUGCCGAUUUUAGAUAUAUCAGCUCUAAAACCGUUUGAUUCAGAUUCUACACUCUUGUUCUUCUCCCACGUCUUCGUGACGACAUUGAUGAAUUCAAGAAACUUAACUAUCAUCUGUAUCAAGCCCUCUGCAAAGCUAUCUACAAGCCUGCCGCUUUCUUCAAAGGAUUGAUUCUUCCAUUAUUAGAAGUGAGUUUAACUUAAAUAUUUUUCAUGUAUAUUCUUUUUUUCUCAGUCUGGAACAUGUACACUUCGUGAAGCUGUUAUCUUCAGCUCUGUCCUCACCAAAGUCCCGAUUCCAAUUUUUCAUUCCGCUGCUGCUAUGCUUAGGGUAACUUUUGUUUUAAAAUAUCUCAUCAAAAACCUGUUGAUAUUUCAGAUUGCCGAAAUGGAAUACACUGGAGCUAAUUCCGUGUUUCUUCGAGCUCUCAUUGAUAAGAAGUAUGCUUUACCGUAUCGUGCAGUCGACGGAGUCGUUAAUCACUUCAUUCGUCUGAAAACCGAUGAACGAGAUAUGCCAGUUUUGUGGCAUCAGUGUCUUUUGGCACUGUGCCAGCGAUACAAGAACGAUUUGAAUGCCGAGCAGAAGGCAGCUAUUUAUGAGCUGAUCAGAGUAAGUUUAAUUUUUAAAAACUAUUAAAACUUCGAGUUUUAUUAUCACGAGAACAUCUAGUUAGGAGAGUUAUUUUCAUGGCUUCUUCAGUCUCGAAUCCUUACCAGACAAUGGACCCGAACUAGGCCCAGAGUUGCCACCUGGACCGUUCGAUGCGCUUGACGGUUUCUUCUUGUUACGUCUUCCAGUCUUUUUAGCAGUUUUAUCUCUCAUCGGAUCUGACAUUGGUCCAGUAGACAUCAUUUUUGCACGGAGCUGUCCUGUCGACUUGUUGACCGAGGUUUUAUCUUUCUUUCCUGUGAUUUCGUACAUCAUCUGGACAACUUGGCUCAUAGUGGGGCGCUGUUGAGGAUCGCGAAUCCAGCACUUUUUCUGGAAAAUUCCACAUUGCUAUGAAAAUAGUGGAAUGAAAUAGAACUUACAAUAACAUCGGCAAGCAUAGCUGGAGCCUUUUGACUAAUCGGCAUACGGUAAUCAUCGCGUCCAACCUUCUGAUGUACCUGCACCACCAACAUCUCCGGAUACGGCUGAGCUCCAUUCUCGAUCACCUCCCAGCAGAGAAUCGAGAAAGCAAACACAUCAGUUUGUGGAGUAUAAAGGAAGGAAACGAUCGUUUCUGGUGAGAGCCAUCUGAUUGGAACUCUUUUGCUCGGAUCCAUCUGAUACUCCGUUCCAACUCGAGAUAAACCGAAGUCAGAGACUUUAGCCUGAACGUUAUUAGUUAUUAACUUUUAAAUUAUUUAUAACAUACAACGCCUUUUCCAUAGAGUAUGUUUCUGGCCGCAAUGUCCCUGUGUAUAAUGUUUUUGCUGUGAAUGUAUGCCAGACCAGCUGCCACUUGUGCGAUUAUAUCCAGUUUCUCAGGCCAUUGUACCGAUGAAUUCUUCUGAAGAUAUUUAUCCAGAGCACCACCAGGAACUAACUCCAUGACUACUAGCAAUGGUUCAUCGAUUGCAGCCACGCCGUAACAUUUUACAACGUUCUUGUGAUCGAAUCCGCGCAUCAGACGUGCUUCUGUGAUGAUCUCCUUGAUUUGUUCUUUAGUCACUUUUUCAAGUUUUGCCUGAAGUUUCGUCAUUACUUUUUAUAUAAAAGUCUAGUCCAACUCACAACUUUUAUAGCGACAUCUACUGUAGUCGAUCCCAUUUUCAGCGUCCCAAGCUUUACUUCUCCGAAAGCACCUUCACCAAGAACUUUUGUCAUUGUAAUAUCGGCGUGAUUCAGUUCCCAUGAUUGUCUACCGAUAGGAUUCACUAGAACACUGCUUGCAACUUCCUGAACAACAAUAAUUAGUCUAUAAUGUGCAUGAAUCGCUCGUACCUCACUAAUUUUAGCCUGUUUGUGAUGAUUUACUAACUCAGUCAAUGUUCCAAAUUUAAUUUUAUCAGUGAUUGAAUAUGCUCCGUCGCUUGUACGAAUCACAUAAUGAGCAACUUCUUGACUUGUCUCGUUCUGCAUCACCGAAAUGAUCAAAUGACGUGCUUGUCCUUGAGGCUCUGACGUUCUCAUCAGAUAAUCGCCAUUUUUUUGAAGUAAAAGCUGAAAAAGUCGGUGCUCCUUUUAAAUAAAUAUUACUCUCAAAUUACCUUUACUUCUUCUCGUGGAAGAAGUCCGUGAAAGAAUGGUUGCUCAUUGAUCUCCAUUGCGCCAAUUAUGUGAAAAGAGUGUAGAAUUAAUUUCUACGAUUAUCGAAAUGAUUAAAAUUUCACUUCUGAUCGAUCUUAUGCGUGUUUUCUUCUUUUUUUUAAUUUUUUUCCUGGCGUAUGGGUUCACAUCAUUGGUCACGUAAAUUUUUUUUUCAUAAUUAUAAAGUUUAAGUCAGGUAAUUUCCGAAGUUUUAUGGUCCCAUGAGUUCAAUGUUUCCAUUGUUUUUAACCAAUUUCAAUUUAUAGUUCCAUGGACACUAUCUCAUCUCGCCUGAAAUUCGCCGUGAGCUCGAAUCCAAGGAAACCGAAGACGGACAUGUUAUCACUUCAGUUGUGGUCGAAGGCCGAAAGACGGAUAGUAUGGAAUUCUAAAUCACACACAAACAGAAAGAGACGCAGAAGAGAAAUAUUUCCCGCUUUCACUCUAUUCUGCACGUAGGCUUUGCUCUUUUCUUCUAUUUCCAUUAUUGUUCGUUUCCCCGCGCCCCUCCCCAAAAAUUGUUCAUUUCUUUGUUUUUUAUUCAUCAUUGUUGGUUAUGUUACUCUCUUCCUCAUUCAAAUGAAAUUGUUGUUGAUUUUCUAAAUACAAAGUAUUAGUUUCAAAGAGCAAAGGUUUUCGUCCCUAACUUAAUGCUUGUUUUUUCAAAUUCAUGUUAUCAUGUCUUUGACGAGAGAAAGUUUUCAGAUUCGUCAAAAAAAAAUGAUAACCAGGUCAAUAGGUAUCGCUAGAAGAUCCAAUUCGAUUAAUUGCAUUGUUGGAUCAAAUACAAGCACUUCAUAUAGUUUAGAUGAAUCAACAAAAAGAUGGAUUUCCACUAGGUUCAGAAUUCGAAAAUUUUAAUUUUAAUUGUUAUAAUUUUAGUACAAAACAACCAAUGUCACUGAUACCAACUGCAAGUAGCCUUGUUGCUUCUUCUCCGCCAAAUUUGAAGCCAUAUCUUCAACUGAUGAGAGUCGACAAGCCUAUCGGUAAUUUAUUAUUACACAGACGCGAAGUUUUGGGAGUUUUGCGCCGAAAAUACGAUACCUAGUCUCGACGCGAUUAAUUUUGUAAAAUACAAACAAAUGUGCGCCUUUAAGAGUACUGUAGUUUUAAUCGAUUUUGAAAAUUCGAUGAAAAUUCCGCAGCAACGAAAGUUUGGAAGUUACAGUAAUCUUUAAAGGCACGCACCUUUCUGCAUUCAACAAAAUGUUGUCGUGUCGAGACCACGUACUGUACUUUCGGCGCAAAAAUUUUCACGUGCGCAAUUGGUUUGAUUUGAGUCCUUAACGUUUAUUUUUCAGGUACCUGGCUCCUGUAUUGGCCAUGCACAUGGAGCAUAGCAAUGGCAACUCCAGCUGGUCAAUUACCAUCUAUCUACAUGCUUUCUUUGUUCGGAGCUGGUGCUUUUUUGAUGAGAAGUGCCGGAUGUGUUAUCAAUGAUUUGUGGGAUAAGGAUUUUGAUAAGAAGGUUUUUCAAAAUGAGAAGUAAAAAAAAACCGAAAACUGUUUCAGGUUGAACGAACGAAACUAAGACCAUUAGCAUGUGGCUCGUUGACUGAAAAGCAAGCAAUUGGGCUUUUGGCAGGACUUCUCAGUUCUUCGCUUGCUAUUCUGCUACAAUUGAAUUGGUACAGGUAAGGCCGGUGGAAAUAUUUACGAAGUUGAAGGAUGAAUCCGAAAUGAAAGUUUUAUCAAAAGCCACGAGGCUGAAAUGCAUGCGCAUGAAUUAUUUUGCCAAAAACAAGUACGGUUCCCGAUCUCGACAAGAAAGUUUUUGUUAAUGCGAAAAGAUUUGCGCCUUUAAGGAUUACUGUUAUUAAAAACUUGGUGUGAUGUUUUCAUAUAUUUCCUUAACAUUUCUAAUCUUUCGAGUGAAACAAUUAAUAAUCACAUAAAGAUUCGAGAAAACGGAUGGCAAAUUAAAAAAAAAUCGUAGGCAAGAAAAGUUUCAACCUACAGUAAUCCUUAAAGGCGCAUACUCUUUUGCAGCUAACAAACUCUUUAUUAUUUCGUGUCGAGAUCGGCUACCGCACUUUUUUGAACAAAAUCUUGCAUAUUUGUUAUAAAUUAAGGAGUGCCCGAAUUUCUCGAAGGACGAAAAAUUCGAAAAACUAAUAUUUUCAGUGUGGCAGUUGGCGCUUCUUCAAUGGCUCUUGUCGUUGGAUAUCCUUUGGCAAAACGUUUCACCUACUGGCCACAAUUUGUUCUCGGUUAGUUUCAUUUUUUAUUCUCCGAAGAUCUUAGAAGCUGGGCUCCAAUCUCCGUCUCCUUCCAAAUAAAUUUCACACACGUACACAGAGUUUCAAACCUAGUCUGUCGUUUUGUACGAUUGCAGGUGCCACCCUAAACUGGAGUGUGCUGAUAGCGUGGGCAGAAUUGGGCCAUUUCAAUGAUUUUGGCAUCUUUUUGCCACUCUACACUGCCACCAUCCUGCACACGGUCAUCUACGACACUAUUUAUAGUCAUCAGGUAGAGCUAAGAAAAGCAGGAAAAAAGUAUUCGAAGAGUUUUGAGAAUAUUUUCCAUUUUCAAAAGUUUGCUUCUUGAAAUUAAUUUUGAAGAUAAAAUAAUGAAAUUCGGUGAAUAUAGCUCUCAAAAACUAUUAUGGGGACGCAGAAAAGUGUCAUUUUGUAUCUGUGUGAAACCACGCUUCAACGCUCCGCCCUCAAACCAUGGGUCUCGUUAGGUAUUUUGCGGAAAAUCCGAAAAAAAAUCAAACGUUUUUCGUUAAUUUCGCCAAUUUGAAGCACUUUUCCUGUUUUUCCAAGUUUACCGUGGUUUUUUUUAACCAUUUGUAUACCGAUGAUAAAAAUAAGGUUUUCCCGCCAGAAGCCUAACGAGACCCAGGGGUUGGGGGCGGAGCGCUUCAGAACGAACUUUUUUCCUGCGUCUCCAUAGUAAUUGGUAUGAAUAAGUUUGCACGGGUUACGGUAGGAUCUAAAUGUUGUGAUUGGUUGUUUGAUUUAUUAUAUGUUCAAAACAAAAAGUCUCAUACCGUGCUGCGGUGAUGGUGGUUGAAAAGGGGUGGCAUCUGCACAAAAGAAAAAGGUUACUGUAGCUUUAUUCAGCUUCUUUCUUUCUUUUUUCCACCUCAAACCUUCCCCCUGGUUUCUCAAUAUCUCUUACACUCUCUCUAUCAUAGUACAGGACUCACGUUCAAUUGGGGCGCUCUUCUUGGAUGGUGUGCGCUGAAAGGUGAUUUGUCGUCUAGUGCACCGUUUUGGAUGUAUGCAGCUGCACUUCAAUGGACACUGAUCUACGACACUAUCUAUGCACAUCAGGUGGCCUAUUUGGGGAUUGGGACUCUUUUGUUUUGUCAUGUUUUUCCUUGUUGUGAUGUUUUUUGUCCGUUUCGUAUACCUACCGUAACCCCGAACGCAUGCAUUAAAGGGAAGUAGAUUUUGUGGGUUUUUUCUUUAAUUUACUAAAACUGACCUGAAAGUACAAAUCUUAAUAAUUUAGUUCUAGAAAAAAUUUUUGAACAUUUUUUGAGAUUUCACAUUAAGAAAUUCGGUCGUUUCGGACCAGUUGUAAUCUAUUCAAGCAAAAAAGUCACAAAUUCUGCUCCCUUUAAAGUCAUUCUUCCUGAAACAGAUGGGAAAUACCUCGGUUGUUUAAUUCUCGAAUAUAACUUUAGUUUUCAGGACAAAGCUGAUGAUAUCAUGAUCGGUGUCAAGUCGACUGCUCUUCGCCUUGGAGCUGACACCAAAAAAUGGUUAUCAGCAUUUGGUGUCGGUACUGUUGCUUCGUUGACAGCAUGUGGAAUAGCGAGUGAUCAGACAUGGCCAUACUACGUGGCACUUGCCGCCACCACAGCUCAACUUGGAUGGCAAGUUGGAACAGUUGAUAUUGAUAAUGGAUCUGAUUGUUGGGAUAAGUUCAAGUCAAACUCAUGGAUGGGAAUCAUCUUGUUCAGUGGAAUAGUUGCAUCUACGUUGCUGAAAGAGGUUUUUCAGAUUCUUAUUCGUCCUUAUCAUUAAAUUUUUCAAUUCCAGGACGAGAAAACAAAAGAAUCGAGGAAGAACAUCGGCGAUGAGAAUUUCGAUGAUGUAUUAGUGACCACCAACUAAUAUAUAGUAGUUAAUUACUUAGUAGUUCUUAUAGUUGAAACAUUCAUUUUGCUUCUGUGAUUCCACGUGUAUGAUAAAUAAUUUUGCCAAUAUAAAUACAAUGAAAAGACGUAGAAAAUGUUAUUCUGUUUAAAUUUGUUGCAUCAACAUUACAAUAGAAUCCAAGUGAUCAUACGAAGCUUAUAGGCUAAAAUAUCAAUUAUUGGAGAACAUUGAAGUUUUCCUAAUCUACCUACAAUUCUACCUAUCUGCAUAGGUAGGAUUCUGUCUGCCUACCUAUAAGGCCUUUCCCUGCUUACCUUCGUGUUUGUCGGUACUCGAACGUUGUGCCUGCCUACCUGCUACUUUUCCUAAACUGUGCUCCAAACACAUUUUUGCUCACUCAAUGGAAAGUAUGUAUUCGAAUAGUGAUAAAUAAUAAAUAAUAGUAUGUUUACACAAGGUAACCCACAUUUCGCAAUGAUAUCAAACAAUUUCAUAACUGUUUCACUUCCUUUCGAAUCAUUUUUCGAAAAACUCAUCAAAGAUAUUUAAAGUUUUACUCAGACUUCCCAUGACAGAUACUAAGGUUACGAUAUCGGUGGUCGACUCUUCGAGCAGUUCAAAAGAGGUAGGUUUAGGGAUAAAUACUUAUGUAUUCACUAUUAGAAUAUCUUACAUAUCUAUCCAACUACAUAUAUGUAUACCUAGAGGCAAAGAUUCCUAGUUAGUCGUAGCUUCUUGAAGACUAUUUGGAGUUGAAGCAUCUAAAGUUGGCACUAUGUGUUUCAAAGUUGCAUUAUACUGUGAGGAUUUUCCUUUUUUAGGGAAACUAUGAUGAAGUCGUCGAAUCUUUCGACGACAUGGAGCUCAAGGAGGAGCUUCUUCGCGGAAUCUACGGAUUCGGUUUCGAAAAGCCAUCUGCCAUCCAAAAGAGCGCAGUUGCUCCAUGCACAACUGGUAAAGAUGUCACUAUUCAGUCUCAAGCUGGGAGCGGGAAAACUGUAAUUUCUCUAAUUGAUAUUCUUCAAGGAAUUGACUGUGAAGAUGCACACUUACAGGUCAUUCUAUUGGCUCCUCAAAGGGGGAUGGCUCAACGAGUAAGAAUAAUGAAUUUUUUAUUAUUCUAAUGCCUUAUUUUUGUAAUAUCUAGGCGCAUGAGCAAUUGAAAUCUCUGGGCAGAAAUCUGAAUGUAAAUGCUACUUGUUUGGGAUUUGAUACAACUGCUGAAAACGACAAAAUAAGUCAUGUCUUGAUGGGAACUCCCAAAGAUUUUCUUAGCAAUAUCCCUUCCGAUACAUCCAGAAUUAAGAUGUUCGUUCUUGACGAGGCUGACGAAAUGCUUUCUAAAGGUUUCAAAGAUCAGAUCUACGAGGUUUUCCGUUCCAUGCCACAAGACGUUCAAGUAGUCCUUCUUUCGGCUACUAUGCCAUCUGAAGUUCUUGAUGUCACUAAUCGUUUCAUGCGUGAUCCAAUCCGUAUUCUUGUCAAGAAGGACGAGCUCACCCUUGAAGGUAUCAGACAGUUCUACAUCAACGUUCAAAAGGAU